rnacentral:lncRNA from 1 species
AUUCGACUCAAAAAAUACUAUAAAUUUUACCAGAAUUUGUACUUUAAAAUCGUAGUUUCGAAAGCGGUAGUCCGAUAGUCGGACUACGGACGUCAUCAAUUGCGACGUUGCCUUUUUCUCUUCAUGGCUUGUAAAGUAAAGGUGGCUAUGGUAGAGUUAAUGGUUGUAACUGGAAUCGCGCUAUUGGGCUUUUGUUAUUACCAUGAAUUGUGUAUUUUUUGUGUUUAGGGACAGUCCAAAAAUUAUUAUUCUGAAUUGUGUGUAGUUCGUAUAUAUUUAUAUACAGUGAUGGGUGCGCUAAUAACAUGCGAAAUUACGGUGUGAUAUAAAAAGAGAUGAAACUAGUAGAGGUGGGAAACUAUCAAUAUAAUGUAAAUUUAUAGAUUUCUAUUGAUACUUUCGCACCACUACUAGCUUCAUGUCUUUUUUUACAACGUAUUAUGUUUUCCGUCUUUUGCGUUAUUUUGCUGGUUAUUAACGCACUCAUCACUAUAUUAUCUAUCUAAAUAAUAGAACGUUUGAUUUCUCAGUUAAAGGUGUACAUUAUAGUACUAGAUUUUUAACGUAUUUAAAGUACAUUGAGUACUUGAAUUUUUCUACAGAUUCAGCAACAUUUUAAGGUUACAUAAGCAACACAAGGUCGAAUUGUACUAUGCUCGGACAAUUUCAAAGUGUUUUUAGUACAAUAUGUGCCUUUAACUGAGAUAUUUUGGAGAUGUGAAUAUUUUUUCAUUAUUACUAAGUUUUACGUUUAAUUUUGUAUAAAUAACAAUUAACAACCUUUUUUAAUAUUUAAAACUGCUUUUUCGAGCAAUAAAAAAUAAUGUUAUUGAUAUAAAAUUUUUGAAUAUUAGAAAACUGUUAAAAUGAAAUGAAAAAUGUGUGUAUCGAUUGUGUAAUUGUCUGUAGCAUAAAAACGGAUAAUGUACAUUCAAAGGAAUGGAUACGAGGAAAGAUAAAAUGUUUAGGUCUGUAUCUCUUUUCCCUGUAUAUAUACGAGGUGGAUUGAUAUAAAACUAGCCUUUGAUAGAAAAAAAAACAA